rnacentral:misc_RNA from 1 species
GUAACGGCGAGUGAAGCGGCAACAGCUCAAAUUUGAAAUCUGGCUCCUUCGGGGUCCGAGUUGUAAUUUGCAGAGGAUGCGUCGGGUACGGGUCCCUACCGAGUUCCCUGGAACGGGACGCCAUAGAGGGUGAGAGCCCCGUCUGGUAGGAUACCCAGCCCAUGUGACGCUCCCUCGACGAGUCGAGUAGUUUGGGAAUGCUGCUCUAACGGGAGGUAUACUCCUUCCAAAGCUAAAUACCGGCUGGAGACCGAUAGCGCACAAGUAGAGUGAUCGAAAGAUGAAAAGCACUUUGAAAAGAGAGUCAAACAGCACGUGAAAUUGUUAAAAGGGAAGCACUCGCUACCAGACUUGGGUUUGGCGGUUCAACCGGGGCCACGCCCCGGGGCAUUCCGCCAGCUCAGGCCAGCAUCAGCUUUCCGUCGGGGGCAAAGACGUCGGGAAUGUAGCUCCUCCUCGGGGGAGUGUUAUAGCCCGGCGUGUCAUACCCUUCGGGGGGCUGAGGUACGCGCUUCUGCAAGGAUGCUGGCGUAAUGGUAGCUAGUGACCCGUCUUGAAACACGGACCAAGGAGUCAACCUUAUGUGCGAGUGCCCGGGCGUAAAACCCCAGCGCGGAAUGAAAGUGAACGUAGGUGAGAGCUUCGGCGCAUCACCGACCGAUCCUGAUGUCCUCGGACGGAUUUGAGUGAGAGCAUAUAGGGUUGGACCCGAAAGAAGAUGAACUAUGCGUGUGUAGGGUGAAGCCAGAGGAAACUCUGGUGGAGGCUCGCAGCGGUUCUGACGUGCAAAUCG